rnacentral:rRNA from 1 species
CUACGGGCCGCACCAGUGGGGAAUAUUGCACAAUGAGCGAAAGCUUGAUGCAGCCAUACCGCGUGUGUGAAGAAGGCCUGAGGGUUGUAAAGCACUUUCAAUUGGGAGGAAGGUUAAGUAGUUAAUACCUGCUUAAUUUGACGUUACCUUUAGAAGAAGCACCGGCUAACUCUGUGCCAGCAGCCGCGGUAAUACAGAGGGUGCAAGCGUUAUUCGGAAUUACUGGGCGUAAAGCGCGCGUAGGCGGAUUAUUAAGUCAGUUGUGAAAGCCCUGGGCUCAACCUGGGAACUGCAUCUGAUACUGGUAGUCUAGAGUUUAAGAGAGGGAAGUGGAAUUCCAGGUGUAGCAGUGAAAUGCGUAGAUAUCUGGAGGUACAUCAGUGGCGAAGGCGACUUCCUGGCUUAAAACUGACGCUGAGGUGCGAAAGCGUGGGUAGCGAACGGGAUUAGAUACCCUCGUAGUC